rnacentral:rRNA from 1 species
AUUGAACGCUGGCGGCAUGCUUUACACAUGCAGGUCGAACGGCAGCGCGGGCUUCGGCCUGGCGGCGAGUGGCGAACGGGUGAGUAAUACAUCGGAACGUGCCCAGUAGUGGGGGAUAGCUCGGCGAAAGCCGGAUUAAUACCGCAUACGACCUGUGGGUGAAAGCGGGGGAUCUUCGGACCUCGCGCUAUUGGAGCGGCCGAUGGCAGAUUAGCUAGUUGGUGGGGUAAAGGCCUACCAAGGCGACGAUCUGUAGCUGGUCUGAGAGGACGACCAGCCACACUGGGACUGAGACACGGCCCAGACUCCUACGGGAGGCAGCAGUGGGGAAUUUUGGACAAUGGGCGAAAGCCUGAUCCAGCAAUGCCGCGUGUGUGAUGAAGGCCUUCGGGUUGUAAAGCACUUUUGGCGGGAACGAAAAGGACUGUGCCAAUACCACGGUUCGAUGACGGUACCCGCAGAAUAAGCACCGGCUAACUACGUG